ensembl:rRNA 5S_rRNA 5S ribosomal RNA
GCCUACGACCAUAUCACCCUGAAUGCGCCCGAUCUCGUCUGAUCUCGGAAGCUAAGCAUGGUCGAGCCUGGUUAGUACUUGGAUGGGAGACUGCCUGGGAAUACUAGGUGUUGUAGGCU